rnacentral:rRNA from 1 species
UUUAAUUGAAGAGUUUGAUCAUGGCUCAGAUUGAACGCUGGCGGCAGGCCUAACGCAUGCAAGUCGGGCGGUAACAGGGGGAA